CUCGUAGGCGGUCUGUUGCGUCUGCUGUGAAAACCCGGGGCUUAACCCCUGGCUUGCAGUGGAUACGGACAGACUAGAGGUAGGUAGGGGAGAAUGGAAUUCCCGGUGUAGCGGUGAAAUGCGCAGAUAUCGGGAGGAACACCGGUGGCGAAGGCGGUUCUCUGGGCCUUACCUGACGCUGAGGAGCGAAAGCGUGGGGAGCGAACA
rnacentral:rRNA from 1 species